AGUGAACGCUGGCGGUAGGCCUAACACAUGCCAGUCGAACGGCAGCACAGUAAGAGCUUGCUCUUACGGGUGGCGAGUGGCGGACGGGUGAGGAAUACAUCGGAAUCUACUUUUUCGUGGGGGAUAACGUAGGGAAACUUACGCUAAUACCGCAUACGACCUACGGGUGAAAUCAGGGGAUCUUCGGACCUUGUGCGAUUGAAUGAGCCGAUGUCGGAUUAGCUAGUUGGCGGGGUAAAGGCCCACCAAGCCGACGAUCCGUAGCUGGUCUGAGAGGAUGAUCAGCCACACUGGAACUGAGACACGGUCCAGACUCCUACGGGAGGCAGCAGUGGGGAAUAUUGGACAAUGGGCGCAAGCCUGAUCCAGCCAUACCGCGUGGGUGAAGAAGGCCUUCGGGUUGUAAAGCCCUUUUGUUGGGAAAGAAAAGCAGCAGGUUAAUACCCCGCUGUUCUGACGGUACCCAAAGAAUAAGCACCGGCUAACUUCGUG
rnacentral:rRNA from 1 species